CUUUGCUAGGCUGCUGAGUCAGAAGCCUGGACGGGCCAGCUUCAGUCUUAAUGAACUGGCUCAGGAAGGAAGUGCUAACAGAGAUGGGUGCACUGUGCAGUCAGUAGUGGGAGCUGAUGCCGGCUAGAAGAACUGAGCCUUGUGAGAGGCAGUCUGAUUCCUUGGAAAGAGCAUUGGCUGGAAGUCUGGAGGCCUGGGCUAGUCUCUGCUCUGCCACUAACUUGCUGCAUGACCCUGGUAAAGGUUUACUUCAAUUAAAAGUUUAUCAAGGGACCAGCCCAGUGGUGCAGCGGUUAAGUGCGCACGUUCCGCUUCUCAGCGGCCCAGGGUUUGACAGUUCGGAUCCUGGGUGCGGACAUGGCACCGCUUGGCAUGCCAUGCUGUGGAGCCUUCCUUGAUCUUCUUUCUAUCUCACCCCCUGGCUGGCAUCCAGCUCAGCCCUGGCCCACCAUAGGCACUCAGUGAAUGUUGAUUUGAGCAAAAGACACGAUUGAAAGAAAUGUCUCCUGAAAUUGCUUCUUACAAAUCUAGCCAACAAGUGCAGCAUCCUAGAUGGAGGCACCAGAGAUGACAUCAUCUCUGGCUUUCUGCUGCAGACCCACAUGGAGAAUCCCACAUGGUGCAACCAAAAUCCUCAAGGCCAGAUAGGUCUUUUCAUUGGAAGCCCUAAAAUGCAAUGCCUGGCUUUGAAGAGGGUGUAUGACACAAAUGAUUUACUAUGCAUUGAUCUGACUAAUGGAAAAUAAACAAUAACUUUUAAAUUAUCAUCCUUUGAGUG
rnacentral:lncRNA from 1 species